UACAGAGGUCUCAAGCGUUGUUCGGAUUCAUUGGGCGUAAAGGGCGCGUAGGCGGCGGGGUCAGUCGGGUGUGAAAUCUUGGGGCUUAACCCCGAAACGGCACUCGAAACUGCCCGGCUGGAGGGCCGGAGAGGAGAUCGGAAUUCACGGUGUAGCAGUGAAAUGCGUAGAGAUCGUGAGGAAGACCCGUGGCGAAGGCGGAUCUCUGGACGGAUAACUGACGCUGAGGCGCGAAGGCCAGGGGAGCAAACGGG
rnacentral:rRNA from 1 species